CUCUUUUAGUCUUCUCUAAUCCAAACAUUAAAAAAGCUAAUUAUAGACGUUGAAAUCUAUAAUUUAAUUGUGUAGAAAAGAAGUAAAUAAUUUUGCUUUGUCCUGAAUCUGCCAAUUUCUUUGGUGACUUGAGUUUCUAGGGAUUUUUCCUAGAUCUCAUGUUACAAUUAUAGCAGUAUUAAUUAAUAGGUUCAUUCUUACUUAAUGUUGCUAUUUUGAGUUCCACAGGAAAUAUUUUAAUCUAAAAACUUCCCUGGCACAGCAAGAACAAACUCCUGUUGGCUAAGGUUACUAUGUCAUCAGUACUGCUUAAUCUCAGAUUGAGGUGACUGUAACAUCAGUAACACUCAACCCCAGAUCAGGUUGUUUGAAGUAUCAGUAGUGUUUAGUCUCACUGCUCAUACUGACAAUGUGUAAGUAGGACUUUCUCAGUCUGUGUUGUUCAUUCAUUUUAACUAAUUAAUUAAAUGACUAAAAAAGUCAUGAGAGGAAAAGACAAAGAUCCACCCAGAGGAAAAGUGUUCUUAGCUUACAUCAAGGGAACCACUGAUGGCAUAGGGAAGCUGAUGAAGAAAUACAACCUACAAACUAUCUACAGACCCACUAAGAAAAUCCAACAAAUGCUACCAGUAUGUUCGGCAAAGGACAAGAGAGAUCCUCUCACUUCUGCAGGAGUCUACCAUACUAUGCAGCUGUGGACAAGUCUACAGGGACCACCAAACGCAGGAAUGGCCAAACACGAAUCAAAGAACAUGAAAGGCACCGCAGACUAAUCCAACCAGAGAAGUCAGCCAUAGCAGAGCACCUGAUGAACCAACUUGGACACAGCAUAUUAUUUGAGAACACAGACCACUCUAACAACCACCAUGUCAGAUUACACAGAAAAGCCAUGUGGACAAUUUCAACAGAAAGGAGGAAACCAUGAAAAUUAACAAAAUCUGGCUACCAGUAUUUUAAAAACUAAAAUCAGGACAGUAAAUAAAGAGCAACACUCAAAAGACAGGGGAAUUCCAGACAUGAAACAACCAGGGCCAGCUAACACCUCCCAACACCUUCCACCAGGCAGGAAUCAGCUAGGCUUUGAAGUUGCAAGGCCACUAAUGCUAAUCAAGGUGGCCAAUUGCAGCAUUCAUACUUGCCUCCAACAGACAAGAGUUCUUUCUCCCACCCUGGACAUUACACACACACAUACACACACAUAUAUACACCCCACUUACUUGCUUCCAGUAGACCUUACAACCUCUGAGGAUGCCUGCCAUAGAUGUGGGAGAAACAUCAGGAGAGAAUGCUUCUGGAACAUGAUGAUACAGCCCGGAAUACUCACCACAACCCACCGACUAAAAAAAGAUUUAUUGAAGAAACUCUACCAUUUGUAGGUUCUUCCAUCUUUCUUCACUGACAAUGAAGAGUGAAGAGAGAAAAGAGAAGACAGCAAGUUUAAUAUUAGAGCUAGUUUACAGCUCCAAUUCAUCCUCCCCUUUCUCAUUGCCAGUUUAUACGAUGUCCUAGUAUAUACUCUCCUAAAAAUAAAAGGGAGUAAUAAGUGGAGAAGGGACAGGGAAUAUCCGGAGGUUGGUCAGUGCCCUGUACCUUUUUCAUACUUAGUCUGGAAAUAGCAGAAAAGUGAAGCUUGUGCCAGGGCUUGUGAAAUCUACCAUCUCCACUUUAGAGAAAUAUCUUGAAAAUAAUUGUCAAUCAGUAAACCUGAAUAAUUUUACUCAGAUGUCUCGGGUAUAUGAGAGCAAUUUUCCAUAUAAAAGCUUUUUUCUAUGCAAUGGUCCUGGGAGACAUCUUACUUUUCCUCCUUUAUUCUGUUCAGCUUCUGUGGUGAUGUUUCGCUUUUACUAUGCACCAAAUUCUGGCUCACAUAGGGAAGCGUCUUCUCUGUUGCUUUUAGGGAGGGAGGGGAGAGGACAAACGAAAUAAAAAGGUAUUAAGGCAGCAACACUGAGGGGAUUUAUGUAUUGUGAAUAACUAAUUCAUUACUGAACAACUUACAUUAUGAAAUUUAUCCAUGUUUCCCGUUCACUUUGUUCUGUAGAAAUGCAUAUAAGUACUUUGUCUGGUGUGUUUUGUAUUGUGCUCCUGCUCAAUGAACUACACACCACUUACGCCUUCAGGAUUUUGCUUUUGGUCAUAUUAGUACAGGAAGCUUAAUUCUCAUCCAUACCUCGCAACCUCUGAGGAUGCCUGCCAUAGAUGUGGGCGAAACUUCAGGAGAGAAUACUUCUGGAACAUGGCCACACAGCCCGAAAGACAUACAACAACCCUUAAUUCUCUGCAUUCACACACCAAGCUUUCAAGAAAGAGAGGAAACUAUGACUAGGGUGGGCAGGUUGGGACUAUCCCAGGCCUUGAAACUAACAUUUGAGACCUCUGGACAACCCUUUGUGAUGUCAUGCCAUUGUGAUGCCAUUCCAACAGGCUUUGGUGUUGUUACAAGGAUGUUGUUACAAGGGGCAUGUCAUUAAGCAGAGUAGUUUAAGUAUCAACCACAGUUGCGAAGGUAAUGCCAUUCAAAUGAAAAGCACCAAAUCUAACAAAUAAGUAUUAGAGUAUCGCACCCUCUCUUUGAAGGUUGGAGAAGGUGGUCCAAGACCUGCAAUCGGGAUACAGUUGCCUAGCCAUCCUUGCCGCUACAUGAAUUGGCCAAAUUCGAUCUUACAGCUUCAGAAAGGUUUGUCUUAGGAUCACCAUUAAUUGGAAACAACUUGAAGGCACACAACAACAACAACAACCCUAGUUUCAUUUCUUACAAGAGUCUUUACCUUGGAAUGUUUCUGAAAAUGAGGCAAGGAUCGGUUCUCAAAACCAUCAGGCACACGGGACCCACUGAUAGCUUGUUGUCCAACACAAGCAAUCAUCUGUGAUAUGUUAAUGAAGGAGCCUACCAGUAAAAACAGACAUACAGAGCAAUACAUGCAAUACCUUGAGAAUUGCUGGAGGUGGGAGGUGAACUUUAAUUUUUUCAUCCUUGCCAACCAGGAUAGAAGCAAUAAUCUGACAAGUUUUGGCUCGGUCAAAAAAAAGAUGGAAACUAUCCAGCAAUCAUUCAACCACAUCUCAACAAAUAAAUGGGAACACUACCUACCCCCAUAAGGACAAGGGCUUCUGCUUUGGCUUCUUCAGUUUGGGGAAGGUGAAGGUUCAUUUCAUCACCAUCGAAGUCAGCAUUGUAUGGUGUACAAACACAUUCAUUAAAUCUGAAAGUCCGGUGUGGUUUUACUCUAGCCUGAAAAAACAAAACAAAAGCAAAACAAAACAGGAAAGGAGAUAGAAGAAAACAUGCCAAGAUAUCAAGAGAUGGUAGCAGUGUUCUUAGAAAAAGUGUGGUUUAAAAUGUUGCCCUUUUUAACACGUACUGAAAAUGAUUCCCUUUGCCUUUAUGAGAUUGUACCCCACUCUCCUUAUGAUGGUCUAUGACCGUAAUAAAGAUUUUUGUUUUUUA